UCCCGAGUUAAACAGUUAAAUACCGAUGAAUCGAUCAGGUUUCACAUGAUGUUUAACAAAAUAAUGUAGGCAAAUGUAGGCAUAGAUUUUUUUAACGUUGAAAUGUGCAAAGUUUAUCGAGAUUGAAUGAAAUAAUAUUUACUUUCAAGUAUUCUAAAUUUAUGUAUAUGUCAUAAAUGUCAUUGAUUGCAUUAUUGAAACUGGACAACUAAAACGGGGAUAAUAUUUUCGUAAAUAUAUAUUCAAAAAGUGUUUAUUGUGGAAUGCUUGUAUUAAUAUAAUAAGCUAUACAGCAAAAAAUAUAACAAACCGACGAAAUGGGCUUGCAUCUAUCUGUCUUACGGUAAAUUCAUUUUUACACAAAUUAGUUUAUGUAUCAAGAACUUAAAUUGAAGGAUAGAACCGUUUAGAAUUGUUAAUAAUUUAAUUGACUAUAAAUACACGAGAGAUUUUGAUUUUUCGUAUUUAAUAAAGGGUGUCCAAACGUAUUUUUUUGUACAGACAUCUUCUUAACUUUAUACGGAAAUGGUUUUUUAAUUGUCUUUAAAUUUUAAAAUUGAAAUGACACAACUUUGUUCUCCAAUUUCGUAUGUGAUAGCUGUCGGUUUUAACUAUUAAGUUCAAACUAACCAAAAAUAGGGAAAAAUUUGACUAAAAUAAAAAUUGAACGAAUGACUCUUUUCGGCAGCGUACAUCAACGGAAUGUAACGAAUGGACUAUUCGGGUUACUUCGCAUGUAUAUUCGACAAAAACUUGUCUGUUCGUAGUUCUUCGUGAACACGAAAAUGACCGAUAAGUGUCAGUGAUUUGAUCGAUCACAUGCGGAGAAUAAACUUCCAUGCCAGAUAUUGAACCAAUUAACGAGUUAUCGAAAGAUGGGCGGUAACGCAGAUGAAACCUUUGAAGUGACGACGAUGUUAUUCCUUCUAAAUAUUACUUCCAUGAGAUUAGUAACUUUGACUGCAACUCACAUAUUUCUGCAUUAACCUUGUCAGUUGGUUCAUCUGUCUGCACAUUUAGUUGUUUGUUCACAACUUUUCUU
rnacentral:lncRNA from 1 species